rnacentral:rRNA from 1 species
GUAAUAGCUCACUAGUCGAGAGGUCCUGCGCCGAAAAUGUCCGGGGCUAAAACACGACACCGAAGCUGUGGAUCCGAAAGGAUGGUAGAGGAGCAUUCUUAAGUCGACGAAGCUGUACUGUAAGGAGCAGUGGAGAGUUAAGAAGAGAGAAUGCCGGAAUGAGUAGCGAGAUUUAAGUGAGAAUCUUAAAGGCCGAAUAUCUAAGGUUUCCAGGGUAAAGCUGAUCUUCCCUGGGUAAGUCGGGGCCUAAGGCGAGGGCGAGAGCCGUAGUCGAUGGAUAACAGGUUGAAAUUCCUGUACUGCUUAUGGACAGAACUGUGGGGACGCAGAAGGAGAGCACGAGCCGGAAAUGGAAAAGCCGGUACAAGCGUAUAGCAGUCAUGCAGGCAAAACCGCAUGAAAAAUGUAAAGCGUUAUGUGGAUCGAACAUUAGUAGAGAAGCGUGUGAGCCAGCUGCCAAGAAAAGCCGCUAUUGUUUCAUAAGUACCCGUACCGUAAACCGACACAGGUGGAUGAGGAGAGAAUCCUAAGGCCGGCGGGAGAAGUGUUGUUAAGGAACUCGGCAAAAUGACUCCGUAACUUCGGGAGAAGGAGUGCCACAGAGAUGUGGCCGCAGAGAAAUGGCCCAAGCAACUGUUUAGCAAAAACACAGGUCUAUGCAAAACCGAAAGGUGAGGUAUAUGGGCUGACGCCUGCCCGGUGCUGGAAGGUUAAGAGGAGAGGUUAGCGCAAGCGAAGCUUUGAAUUUAAGCCCCAGUAAACGGCGGCCGUAACUAUAACGGUCCUAAGGUAGCGAAAUUCCUUGUCGGGUAAGUUCCGACCCGCACGAAAGGCGUAAUGAUUUGAGCACUGUCUCGACAAUGCAUCCGGUGAAAUUGAAGUACCAGUGAAGAUGCUGGUUACCUGCGCCAGGACGGAAAGACCCCAUGGAGCUUUACUCCAGUUUGAUACUGGGAUUCGGUACUGUCUGUACAGGAUAGGUGGGAGGCUAGGAAAUGGUGACGCCAGUUGCCAUGGAGCCAACCUUGGGAUACCACCCUUACAGUACUGGGUUUCUAACCUGCAGCCGUAACCCGGCUGGGGGACAAUGUCUGACGGGGAGUUUGACUGGGGCGGUCGCCUCCGAAAGAGUAUCGGAGGCGCUCAAAGGUUCCCUCAGAAUGGUUGGAAACCAUUCGAAGAGUGCAAAGGCAGAAGGGAGCUUGACUGCGACACCGACGGGUGGAGCAGGUACGAAAGUAGGACUUAGUGAUCCGGUGGUAUAAAGUGGGAUUGCCAUCGCUCAACGGAUAAAAGCUACCCUGGGGAUAACAGGCUUAUCACUCCCAAGAGUUCACAUCGACGGAGUGGUUUGGCACCUCGAUGUCGGCUCAUCGCAUCCUGGAGCUGUAGCAGGUUCCAAGGGUUGGGCUGUUCGCCCAUUAAAGCGGUACGCGAGCUGGGUUCAGAACGUCGUGAGACAGUUCGGUCCCUAUCCGGCGUGGGCGGAGGAUAUUUGAGAGGAGCUGUCCUUAGUACGAGAGGACCGGGAUGGACGGACCACUGGUGUAUCUGUUGUCGACCAACGGCAUGGCAGAGUAGCCAAGUCUGGAAGGGAUAAACGCUGAAGGCAUCUAAGCGUGAAGCCCCCCUAAAGAUAAGAUUUCCCAUACCGAAAGGUAGUAAGACCCCUUGAAGACGACGAGGUAGAUAGGGCAGAGGUGGAAGUACGGUAACGUAUGGAGCUGACUGUUACUAAUCGGUCGAGGCUUUAACCAA